rnacentral:rRNA from 1 species
GUCCACGCUGUAAACGUUGGGUGCUAGGUGUCGCGGGUAUUGACCCCUGCGGUGCCGACGCUAACGCAUUUAGCACCCCGCCUGGGGAGGUACGGUCGCAAGGCUAAAACUCAAGGAAUUGACGGGGGCCCGGCACAAGCGGUGGAGCAUGUGGUUUAAUUCGAAGCAACGCGCAGAACCUUACCUGGACUUGACAUCUGGGGAACCUCCUGGAAACAGGAGGGUGCCUUCGGGAGCCCCAAGACAGGUGCUGCAUGGCUGUCGU